GGAGCAAACAGGAUUAGAUACCCUGGUAGUCCACGCCGUAAACGAUGGGUACUAGGUGUUGCGGGUAUUGAUCCCUGCAGUGCCGAAGCUAACGCAUUAAGUACCCCGCCUGGGGAGUACGGCCGCAAGGCUAAAACUCAAGGGAAUUGACGGGGGCCCGCACAAGCGGUGGAGCAUGUGGUUUAAUUCGACGCAACGCGAAGAACCUUACCUGGGCUUGACAUCCCGAUCGCACCUUAUGGAAACAUAGGGGUCAGUUCGGCUGGAUCGGUGACAGGUGCUGCAUGGCUGUCGUCAGCUCGUGUCGUGAGAUGUUGGGUUAAGUCCCGCAACGAGCGCAACCCUUGUCCUUAGUUGCCAGCAUUAAGUUGGGCACUCUAAGGAGACUGCCGGUGUCAAACCGGAGGAAGGUGGGGAUGACGUCAAGUCCUCAUGGCCCUUAUGUCCAGGGCUACACACGUGCUACAAUGGCCGGUACAAAGGGGCGCAAGACCGCGAGGUGGAGCAAAUCCCAAAAAACCGGUCUCAGUUCGGAUUGGAGUCUGCAACUCGACUCCAUGAAGUUGGAAUCGCUAGUAAUCGCGUAUCAGCAUGACGCGGUGAAUACGUUCCCGGGCCUUGUACACACCGCCCGUCACACACCAUAGAGUUGGCA
rnacentral:rRNA from 1 species